rnacentral:rRNA from 1 species
CAGGAAGAAGGCCUGAAGGAAUAUAACCUUCUGGUAGUAAAGUUUUAACAUUAGGGAUAAAGGAGGCGAGAGUACAUAAUGAAUAUAGGCAUGCUAAAUAUGUGCCAGCACAGGCGGUAAAAUGUAGAGGCGCAAGCGUCUCGAUUUUCGGGUGUAAAGGGGGGUGCGCAGGGAAACCAAGUCUCAGGGAAAUCCAUGGGCUCAACCCAUGAACUGCAUUUGAAACUGUGUUUUGCGAAGGAUGGAGAGGCAGUGGGAAUUCUUAGUGUUGUAGUGAAGAAAUGAUAUGAUAGGACGCACACCAGCGGUGAAGAAGGCAGCUCGGACAACAACAGACGACGAUGCGGCAAGGAGGGGGGGGGAGACAACAUGAGAUGCCACCGUAGUACUCCCCGCCAUCAACGAAUAUCAGGUGUGGGGGGACGGACUCUUU